AUUUGCUGCCAGGUGGAGAUGUAAAGGGCCAAAGUAUAAUUGGAUUCGAAAAAGAAUUCGACAAGUCCAUGGAAGAUUGGUCCAUCAAUGGCUAUUAGACA